GGUAGUGUGGCUGAGAUUUAAGCGGCGAGUUGUAGCCUCGUUUACCGGGAAGAUAGCCCGCAGUACCAAGCC
rnacentral:tRNA from 1 species